GUCCCUUGGGGGACAUCCGAUAAAAUUGGAACGAUACAAAGAAGAUUAGCACGGCUUCUGCGCAAUGAUACGCACAAAUCGAGAAAUGGUCCAAUUUUUU